rnacentral:rRNA from 1 species
AUUGAACGCUGGCGGCAUGCCUAACACAUGCAAGUCGAACGGCAGCGGGUCGUAGCAAUACGAUGCCGGCGAGUGGCGGACGGGUGAGGAAUACAUAGGAAUCUACCUCAACGUGGGGGAUAACGUAGGGAAACUUACGCUAAUACCGCAUACGACCGAGAGGGGAAAGCGGCGGACCGCCAGGCGUCGCGCGGGGCGGUCAGCCUAUGUCCGAUUAGCUAGGUUGCGGGGUAAUGGCCCACCAAGGCGACGAUCGGUAGCUGGUCUGAGAGGAUGAUCAGCCACACUGGAACUGAGACACGGUCCAGACUCCUACGGGAGGCAGCAGUGGGGAGUAUUGGACAAUGGGCGCAAGCCUGAUCCAGCAAUGCCGCGUGGGUGAAGAAGGCCUUCGGGUUGUAAAGCCCUUUUGUACGGGAAGAAAUCCUGUCGGUUAAUACCCGGCGGGGAUGACGGUACCGUAAGAAUAAGCACCGGCUAACUUCGUGCCAGCCGCCGCAGUAAAAC